AAAUUGAAGAGUUUGAUCAUGGCUCAGAUUGAACGCUGGCGGCAGGCCUAACACAUGCAAGUCGAACGGUAGCACAGAGAGCUUGCUCUCGGGUGACGAGUGGCGGACGGGUGAGUAAUGUCUGGGAAACUGCCUGAUGGAGGGGGAUAACUACUGGAAACGGUGGCUAAUACCGCAUAACG
rnacentral:rRNA from 3 species